rnacentral:rRNA from 1 species
AUGGCUCAGGAUGAACGCUAGCGACAGGCUAACACAUGCAAGUCGAGGGGCAUCGACGGGAGUAGCAAUACAACUGGUGGCGACCGGCGCACGGGUGAGUAACGCGUAUGCAACCUACCUAUCAGGAGGGGAAUAACCCGGCGAAAGUCGGACUAAUACCGCAUAAAACAGGGGCACCGCAUGGUGAUAUUUGUUAAAGAAAUUCGCUGAUAGAUGGGCAUGCGUUCCAUUAGGUAGUUGGUGAGGUAACGGCUCACCAAGCCGACGAUGGAUAGGGGAACUGAGAGGUUGGUCCCCCACACUGGUACUGAGACACGGACCAGACUCCUACGGGAGGCAGCAGUGAGGAAUAUUGGUCAAUGGGCGGGAGCCUGAACCAGCCAAGUCGCGUGAAGGAAGAAGGAUCUAUGGUUCGUAAACUUCUUUUGCAGGGGAAUAAAGUGCAGGACGUGUCCUGUUUUGUAUGUACCCUGAGAAUAAGGAUCGGCUAACUCCGUGCCAGCCGCGGC